GAUGAACGCUGGCGGCGUGCCUAAUACAUGCAAGUCGAGCGAACAGACGAGGAGCUUGCUCCUUCGACGUUAGCGGCGGACGGGUGAGUAACACGUAGGUAACCUACCUAUAAGACUGGGAUAACUUCGGGAAACCGGAGCUAAUACCGGAUAAUAUUUCGAACCGCAUGGUUCGAUAGUGAAAGAUGGCUUUGCUAUCACUUAUAGAUGGACCUGCGCCGUAUUAGCUAGUUGGUAAGGUAACGGCUUACCAAGGCAACGAUACGUAGCCGACCUGAGAGGGUGAUCGGCCACACUGGAACUGAGACACGGUCCAGACUCCUACGGGAGGCAGCAGUAGGGAAUCAUCCGCAAUGGGCGAAAGCCUGACGGAGCAACGCCGCGUGAGUGAUGAAGGUCUUCGGAUCGUAAAACUCUGUUAUUAGGGAAGAACAAACGUGUAAGUAACUGUGCACGUCUUGACGGUACCUAAUCAGAAAGCCACGGCUAACUACGUG
rnacentral:rRNA from 1 species